UGCUAGCAUAGUUUUCUUAAACCCAAUAGGAUUUUACUAAAUCCUAAUCCAAUUAGAACUUCAUAAGUUUAAUUGGUUAAUUCAAGAUUGAUCCCUUAAUGUAUGACCCUGUAGAUUCCAUUCUAUUUGAUAAUGAGAUAUAUUAUGAUUUUCAUCACAAUAUCAUCGAAACUCCUUUUGAUGGGUUGGAACAAUUCUAACUCUAUCCUUUGAGGAUCAUCGAUCAUCAAGACGUUGCUCGAUG
rnacentral:lncRNA from 1 species